UACGAGGGGGGCAAGCGUUGUUCGGAAUUAUUGGGCGUAAAGGGCGCGUAGGCGGUGCGGUAAGUCUCAUGUGAAAUCUCCGGGCUCAACUCGGAGCCUGCAUGAGAAACUGCCGUGCUCGAGUGUGGAAGAGGUGAGUGGAAUUCCCGGUGUAGCGGUGAAAUUCGUAGAUAUCGGGAGGAACACCGGUGGCGAAGGCGGCGAUCUGGGUAGAUACUGACGCUGAGGUGCGAAAGCGUGGGGAGCAAACAGG
rnacentral:rRNA from 1 species